rnacentral:rRNA from 1 species
AGGACGAACGCUGGCGGCGUGCUUAACACAUGCAAGUGGAGCGACGAACCAGGGCUUGCCCUGGGGCAGAGCCGCGAACGGGUGAGUAACACGUGGGUUACCUGCCUCGAUGACCGGGACAACCCGAGGAAACUCGGGCUAAUACCGGAUGUGCCCGCAAGGGGAAAGGAAGCUUCGGCCUCCGCAUCGAGAUGGGCCCGCGGCCCAUUAGCUUGUUGGUGAGGUAACGGCUCACCAAGGCUUCGAUGGGUAGCUGGUCUGAGAGGACGAUCAGCCACACUGGGACUGAGACACGGCCCAGACUCCUACGGGAGGCAGCAGUGGGGAAUCUUGCGCAAUGCGCGAAAGCGUGACGCAGCAACGCCGCGUGGGGGAAGAAGGCUUUCGGGUUGUAAACCCCUUUCAGUUGGGACGAAGCUUCUCCGGUGAAUAGCCGGAUGGAGUGACGGUACCUUCACAAGAAGCACCGGCUAACUACGCGCCAGCAGCCGCGGU